rnacentral:lncRNA from 1 species
GUAUGCAUCUUUCUUGCUAUGUAAAACCCUGCACCACUUCGGAAAUCUACACAUAGUCUCCAUUAGUGAGAGGAACCUUCGAUAGAUGUAGUUCUUCAACCUCAAGAAGACCCUUGGAGCCUCGGAACCGUAAGGCUUUAUACGCUACUGUAUAAGCUGAACGUAAGGUAUUCAGUUAUGGCAACGCAAAACAGACCUGAGUAUCUGAAUCUUUGCAUUGUUGGAGGGACAAUGGGAGUGCCAGCUUAAAAGCAGCGGUCUGGUGCAGGCUGUCCUUUCCAGCGAGGGAAGGAUGAAGCCCUGUGGGUUCUCCCUGCUCACCCUCAUCUGCUGUAUGUAGAGCUGGUUCUGAACGUGAGAUCAUGCCUUUGGCCUCUUACUGGCUUUGUGACAGCUGCCAUCUCUGGCGUGUCCGGCGGAUGUUGUUUUGACUCCGAAGCCAUCUUUUUUUACUUCCGGUGCAGGGUUUCCAGAAAGUGCUGAAAGGUCUGAGGCCAGCGCGGGUGAGCCGCCGCCGCCGUGGGCCAUGCCUGCCUGCCUCUAAUAUGAUUUGACUUGUUUUCCUGGCCAAAAGAACUCAGGGCCAGGAAUGAAAAGCCUCAGUGGCAGAAGUGAUGGCUCCCUGUGCUGCCCGCUGCUGCCCGGUGUGGUGUGGCUGGCGCUCUCUGCCCACAGGGUUCACUCUCAGCCCCGGGGAGCCAGGAAGGGAACAUUUCCAAGAAAUCAAAAACAGAAAGAAAGAAAAACUUCCUCUGAAACUGCCAUCAUCAGGCAUUUAUUAAACUUGAGUUGACUGGGGCCAGUUCUCCUGGUUGGCUAAAAUUGGCUUGAAAAAUAGAGUAAUUUGUGGUUGUCAGAUCCUAAAUUAAAUGAUUCGAAUACUACUGUGGCUGAUUAAAGGACUUGAU